rnacentral:rRNA from 1 species
GGGUCAGUAGGUUGGUCGUGCCACCGGUACGUACUGGUCUCACUGACUCCUCCUUCCUGAAGAACCGUAAUGCCAUUAAUUUGGUGUUGCGGGGAAACAGGACUGUUACUUUGAAAAAAUUAGAGUGUUUAAAGUAAGCUAACGCUUGAAUACAUUAGCAUGGAAUAAUGAAAUAGGACGAUCGAUCCUAUUUUGUUUGUUUCUAGGAUUGACGUA